GCCCCUAGACCCCUAUUAGAGGUGACGCCUGCCCGAUGGUUUAUCCUAAGUUAAUUAACAUUAACGAACCUGAACUCAAUGGCCGCGGUAUUUCUGACCGUGAUAAUGUAGCGAAAUCAAUCGUCACUUAAUUGCUGACCUGUAUCAAAGGUAUUACGAAUGUUCCCCUGUCUCAAGAAAAAUCCCUGUGAAAUUGAAGGGGCCGUGCAUAUGCGGCCUAUUUUCCUGUAAGACGAAAAGACCCUAUUGAGCUUUACUAUAACCUUUCCUCAAAACACUAAGAAAAUGAGUAAACCUCUAAUCUUAGUACUAGGAAAGGCUGGUAGUUUCGUUGGGGCGACGACCUUUCAAAAAGUAACAAAGGUUAGCGAUGGUUUUCUAUUUAAUGAAUCUUAGCCUGACUGUUUGGCUUAUAAGCCUACCAGACACUUUCGUGAGCCAUAAUUUUCCAUUUUAGGGGCAACCCUAAAAUGCCAUAAUAUAAAAGUUACCAUAGGGAUAACAGCGUAAUUUUGUCGAAGAGCUCUUAUCGAUGACAAAGAUUGCGA
rnacentral:rRNA from 1 species